GGAGCCCGUGGCUCUGACUUGGCUCCUCCGCCAGCGAACGAGCCCCGAGGACCCCUUUUCGAACGAGGGACGUGCCCGUCCCGACACGUUUCACGGCCUCAUAAACCCACUUGGCAGAAGAAGCACUGGAACUGAGAUCCUGUGAGGUACUCUUCACUAACCCACAAGUGUCCAUGUUCCCAAACUGUGCCCUGAAACUCAGAUAUUCCAAUGCUUGGAAAUGAUGGAUAUGAGUGGGAAGUUUGGAGUUCUCAACUCAACAAGGGAAUGGAAGGAGUCUGAGAAGAGAAGUGAUCCUGAACAACAUCCACAGAUCAGUGUCUGUCUAGAAGGACUGGAAAAAAUAAUGUCUGUAAGAC